rnacentral:rRNA from 1 species
AGUGGCGAACUGGUGAGUAACACGUGGAAACCUGCCCAGAAGCAGGGAUAACACUUGGGAAACAGGUUGCUAAUACCGUAUAGCAACAAAAACCGCAUGGUUUUUGUUUGAAAAGGUGGUUUUCGGCUAUCACUUCUGGAUGGUUCCGCGGCGCAUUAGCUAGUUGGUGAGGUAAAGGCCCACCAAGGCAAUGAUGCGUAGCCGACCUGAGAGGGUAAUCGGCCACAUUGGGACUGAGACACGGCCCAGACUCC